rnacentral:rRNA from 1 species
UACGGGGGGUGCGAGCGUUGUCCGGAAUCACUGGGCGUAAAGGGCGCGUAGGUGGUUUGAUAAGGGUGUGGUGAAAGUCCGGGGCUCAACCCCGGAUCUGCCGUGCCGACUGUCAAACUCGAGGGCUGUAGAGGCAGACGGAAUUCCGGGUGUAGCGGUGGAAUGCGUAGAGAUCCGGAGGAAGACCGGUGGCGAAGGCGGUCUGCUGGGCAGUUUCUGACACUGAUGCGCGACAGCGUGGGGAGCAAAAGGG